ACCUAUUACCAUGACCUCACUAAUGACUUUGCCUCUGCCAAACACACGUUAGUCACAGUAAUCAACAUUGUCAUUAAUCACUGAAAUAAUUAGGGGCCUAGAUGCUCUUUCAACCGGCAAUCAUGUAUACUCUUUAGUCCUUACUAAACCUAUUACUACUAUGCACUGUUUUAUUCGAUGUUGAUCACAGAUGUUCUAGCACUAAUAUUAAGGCAUACUAUUGGUGCACUUGAGCUUGGAGACUAUCUUGUUGGGUUCAUCAUCCAAAGUAAAAAUAUUUCCUUUAUUCAUAUGUAGUUCUUUAUUUUCCAAUGUAUGUAAUUUCAACCUUUGGGGUAAUAUUCUCAGUGCGAGACUUGGUUUGCACCUUGCAGUUGUUAAGCCAAGAUGAGACAUCCUCUUGUUAUUGUUUGGUGUUUGGUACUGUAAAGUUCCCAUUUUUAUGUUGAAGGCUUAUUUAUCUUAAAUGCUUUGGUGAUUCCAGCGGACCAUAAAUAACUCCAGAAACUAAAUGACAUGACCUUUAUCUCAACCAUUUUCUGAAAGCAUCGUCAAAGAACUUUUUGGCCGGCCGGAAGCCCUUUGUAGACGUUACUUGUACCCUGUAUUCUGGUGUUCAAUUUGUAUAUUUCAGAUUGUAAGGGUUAUCUAUCAACAUCUGUACUUUUAUACCAUUUCUUGGACAAAGCUUCCUUUGUUUGUGUAAUAAUAUUUCAAUGUUAUAUAUUGUGGAGAAUGAUA